UACGGAGGUCCCGAGCGUUGUUCGGAUUCAUUGGGCGUAAAGGGUGCGUAGGCGGCUUACUAAGUUUGAUGUGAAAUCCUGGGGCUCAACCCUGGAACUGCAUUGAAUACUGGGAGGCUAGAGUACUGGAGAGGAAACUGGAAUUUACGGUGUAGCAGUGAAAUGCGUAGAGAUCGUAAGGAAGACCAGUGGCGAAGGCGAGUUUCUGGACAGUUACUGACGCUGAGGCACGAAGGCCAGGGGAGCAAACGGG
rnacentral:rRNA from 1 species